GUCGCAUGCCCUCCAGCGAGAACGACUCGCACGCUAGACUCCCUGCCCUCGUUCGUCGCCGCCUUCAUCCCUUCGCCUCCGCCGCCCUUCAUCCCUUCGCCGCCGCACUCGGUCUCACAUCAAAGGCGCCCCACUCGCGGGAGAGGAUGAGCUGAUCUCCAUGGCCAGAUGAGGGAGGAAUACGGGUGACGGGAUGGAUUUGGAUCUCAAGGCGGGGAGGCCAACGUAGCCGCCCCUAGCGCGUCGAGCGAAAGCGAAGGAUUUGGAUCUCAUGGAUUUGGCUGCGUCGACCAGCAGAGGACCGCCGCCGGCUCAGCUCCUCCACCACGAAGCAACCUCCUUCCACCCCAUAGCCGCCGCCCAAAACCCUAGCAAUCGAGCCCCACCCAUGGCGCCCUAGGUGGUACAGCGGCCAGAGGAGAGGAGAGGAGGUGGAGCAGCCAUCGCCUGGACGUGAGCGGUGAAUGGGCAGCGCGGGCGUUGAGCAGGAUCAUGGGGGAGCAGGGGAGGCCAGAGGCUGCUCACCAUAUACAUCGCCAUCCAUAGCCGCCCUCGUCCGCCAAGAAGCUGAGGAGGGAGGCUGACCUCCAGUGACCACUCUGCACCGCUCUGGACGACACCCUCCCCCACCAGAGAGAAAGUGCAAAAGCUAUGGGCAAUCCUAUAUGACUGGCGCCAUCAGUAAGGAUUUAUUUAAAGCUAGCUUACUUUUGGGUCUAAGCCAAGUUUAUUUCUUUCGCAGAUUUAUUCACCUUAUUGGGACGGUGGGGUUAAUAUAUAUACAUCAACUUUGAGCAUCAGCAACGCAUGAAGCUUGCUUCUGAGGCUGCAACAUACUUUGCAAUCCCCCUGUGAAACAUACUUUUGUCACUAUGCACAUAUGGUUAUUCGAACAGAUUGAUUUCGAUUAGACUAUCUUUUUCCUAAUUACUUGUUAUAUGAUGUUCUUUACUAUUCAGAGGUUGUUGAAGGGAGAUGGGGCUCUUCAGGCCCCUUUGGUGCAAAAGCACAAGCAACAACAUCUACAGCUGACCACUUAUAGCCUAGGAUGUCCUGCAGAUUUGAUCUAUUUUGGAUAGAGUACAUGGAAUCAAACCACAGGUAAUCAAUUUGCUAUAUUCAUGUGAUUAGCUAUAAGGAAUUUAUUACCUCUGUUUUAUUUGCAGGAUACCCAAGCAGUGCGUACAAAUUGUAGUGGUGCUUGUAGCUUAUCAUCAAUCUGCCAUUAUUAUUUGUAUGUAUGUGUUCAAAAUGACCACCUAGAGAUUCUUGAUUUGCUCCUGGCUGCACCGUUGGGUUUCUCGCGGCUUUGUUUCGUUUGAGUUCUAUUGUUCAAAAUUGAAUUUGUUGAUGCUUAGAGUUUGGACUGGUCCGUUUGAUACGUCUGCACUCGUGAUGCGGAACAUUUUCCAACAUAGUGUGGGUUCAGAAGUGAGGAAAACAAUUGGCUUGCAGGGUUCAGGCUACUUUCUUGUGCUUGUUUUGCCUUGUGAUUACUUGAAACUGCAACCUGCAGGUUGAAUGGGCGCUUUAUAUUUUAGGGCGGAAGACUGAAGCAAUGAAAACUGCGGCUCUUUAGUAUAUCUUCAGAUUUGCGGCUCUUUGAGCCGUGGUACAUUUGAUUUGAGACCCGGAUGAGGUCGGUUAAAUUAGGAUUAAAGUCCGCACAAUAACUAGGAACACUGAACAAGCAAGGCUAUUCAGAUGAAGUCUGCACUUAAUACUAUAGGUUUCUUUUUGGGCUCUUGUACAGCUUCGCUAGCAUCAUGAAUUAAUUGUGGGAUAUGAUGCACAGUAGUAGCUUCUUCUGUUUAUUUUAGAAAUCUUAGUUUAUAGGUUUCCUUUUCGUCUCUUGUACUAAUGUUCAGGGUAAUGGAAAUCUUGUAUGAUAAUCUGCACAUAGUUGAUACUAACAAUAGAAUGAUGACAUGUUUGUUUUUGGGCAUAAAGUUAUGUGCUGAUCCUCUUGCAUUUGGAUUCCGGUCUUACCCUGACUAUGCGGAUAUGCUAUUCUAUGUUGGUUUUACGUUUCUUAUUGGAAGAGUGAGAUGCCCAGGACAGAAUCCAGUUUGUAUCAACGCCUCAUUGGUAAGCACGCUCAGGUUUAAUGUUACUGCAAUUUCCUCCCUAAUUUCAGCCCUAGGAACUAUACCAGAUCAUCAUAAGGGUGUGUGAACUCGCACCUGGUCUUGAUGCUAUUUUUGCUGCAUGGUAGUCAUUAUUUUCUUAUGUCUUGCCUGAUGACCUCUUAAGUUCCUAUUUUAUUUUAUUUUAUUUCUCUUAAGAGUGGUGUCUCUUGCAGAAUAGAAUCAUGUAGAUUCUGCUUCAUACAAGCUUCAUAAAGAAAUAGUUUUAAGGGAGGACUUCAAAGAGUAUUUUGCCAAAUUUGGUAAAGUGCGGGUAAAUUGAUUUUUGGUUGUCCUUUUUCUUUACAAUUGGUUCUCAUACUAUUACUUGCAAUGUUUGUUUACAUACUAUCCACCACCGUCUUCGCCCCAUCUUAGCUUCUCCUCAUCUCCACUCUCUCUCGUCGGCUAGGGAUGGAGGGCAGUCAGCAUCCACCUUGAGGCAGAGGGGUGGGCAGAAGGAUGGUCGGUGUUCAACUCUCUACGGUUCAAAACCAAGUCCAUCCAAGCCUCAAAGUAUAAAGAAGGCGCCUAGACACUCGAUGGGUGGUGUAAACCGUAGGGUGUCCAUUGGUGGAGCCACGAUGCAAGCAUCCAAAACAGACAUAUUGUAUACGAAGAAUGUUCAUGCUGCCAAGAGAAGUGAAGACAUUGCCCAUUUGUCCCCUGGGUGGGCGUGUAACUAGAGAACAAAACACUAUGGCGGCAAAUGAGACUAUCGAACCGAACUGAUUGUACUGAAAACUAGGACCUAAACUUGUGCUGCUGGCCAACCUUUUCUUCAGGGAAUGCCAAGAUAUUCGCCAAACAAAGCCAUAGGAUGGUGCUAUACACAGAGGACAACCUAUCAGGAAGUCGGGCUCCAGUGUGUUUGGGUCAGCGUCCACGGAGGAGCAGAUAACUGACGGCAUUUACGCUGCCGGGCUCACUAUCCUCAUCACACGUGACCACAACCCACCCAACCAACUGUUACAAUGGUCGUGGAGCUUCUUGGAUUAAACUUGCAAAGAGUAGUACUGGAAAGCUUCAUUUUCGUAAGAUGCUCUUGUAAUUCCGAGUAGAAGAAAGCAAAGCCAACAAGGGUCGUUAGAAAUUAUUAGUACUCUACAAAAUUUGUAACACAUCAUAUUAAUUGGGAACUCAAAUCUUGGUUGCAAAAAUUAGAUAUGUGCUAUAAAUGCAGGCAAUACAAAAGGUAGGAAGACCAUACGAAGACCAAUACAAAAAGGAGGAUGCAUGAGCUUCAGAUCUGAUUGAAUUUAGUCAGAAGAUGGAGACUUGAAGGAGGAAUUAGUGGAGAAUGGGAAGGUGGAUAGAACAUGGGAACAAAUCAAAUACGUGUAGAGACACAAGCCUCUGCAUUGACAUCUUAAUUGCAAGUUGCAACAAAUAUUUCAAAACUGGGGAUGUAUCGCAAAUAUUUGUUGCACGGUCCUAGGAAGAUUGGGAGUGACCUUAGUGCAAGAAAAUAACAGCCUUAGGGGUGUAGGGUGGACCAUUGGAGCAGGUUGUAAACACUAAAUCCCUUCCAGUGAAAUUGAUAGCUUCGUGGCCAGCAAGUUUUUCUUGUGAUGGAUUUCACUUUUUAGUUGAUCGGUCGUCAUCGCCCUGGGCUUCGGCCGUGGUGUACAACACAACAUCAACAUGAGAAGGAAGCAACUCUUGCCUGUAUAUGUAGGCGCAACAACAAGCAACCGGCGUGAUGGUUGGUUGGCAGUUCAAGACUCAAUGAAGCAGUCCAGAAAGGAGCUAACACUGCUGGGGGAGAAACUGGACAGAGGAAUUGGGACAAAACCUAGAGAAUAAAUCUCCAUGGAGGUGAGUCGUCGGAGACACAAUUUCUAUCUAUGUAUUUGGGGGGAAAAGAGAUGAGCAUGAAAGGCUAUGGCUGCAUUGGUGAGAGAGGAAAGUUAUCUAUCCAAGAGGCUCCGUCGGUGGGUAUG